GACACUAAGAUUGUGAAACACGUACUGUUGCUAUAGCAACAGGAUGCCUCGGUCGAUAUGCACAUUUCGUUAUCUAGAUACCCCAACAAUGCACACGCUGACCGUUCCCCUUACACCCCUGUAUAUACGCACAACCAGAUCGGCACAUAACAGUAUCAUAAACUUGCUCGAUUUUCAAUAUAAGCAUAGCCCCGUGCGGAGACAAUUCUGGGUGUUAUAGUUCCAGUACGG